UAACAUUUAUAAACAUUUAUGUUAUCUUUAAUUGGGAGUGAAACAGUAGAAUCCACCAAACUCUUGACAUGUUCUUGGCUGGGCACCCCGUCGGUUACGACGAAGAGUGCUCCAUUUGAUUCGACCAACGGAACAUUCUGAUCGUGAAAGUAACGUGCAAGUGGCUGAAUUAUCCACAGACAUGCGUACCCUUAACGUAAUUCUGAAGAAGAUUCAACAUGACAUACAAAAUGUGAGAAGAUUGGUCCUCAGAAUUACAGUUGUAAUUAAAGGAAGUGCAGCCAACCGUGCCAGAAUAUGUAUCACUAAUAGCUUGUAUCGGUAAGCAUUUUUGCAGAAUUACUGGACAGCCUUGAAUGCUGUUUCGCCGAAAAUAGCAUAAGCGUAGAAAUGGUUGAAACCAGGAAUCACGUUAUCAUCAUUUGCCUUUUUGCCACCACCAUUUGCGUUUUUUGUUUAUUUCUCCCGAUCAUUGGCUGCCUGCUGCCAUCAAUAACUAAUAAUAAAAAGGAAGGCAAUGCUACUCACAAGUAUAUGUUGCAUGAAAUUACUGCUCAAUAAAAUACGCUACUUCAAAGCUAACAAGGGAGAACAACAGGAAACAUUAUGAUAGCUCAGUUACAAAUGAAUACUUUCGAUAUACCAUAAUGUUACAUAAAUUAGUUUGUAAUUAUUCUGUAAGGCAAUGUAAAAAACUAAAUUGAGACAAUUAUUUUUGUCUCUCGUUUGUUAUAGACACUAUACAUAUUUAUCACCACUCUUGAUAGCACGUAAAUAUUUAAAACAAGCUCUGACAUUCAUGUGUAAAUGUGUGCAACGAGUUGAGAACUUUUACGUUCUCAUUGCUCGUGAUUGAUAUCCAUAGUUAAAGUAACUUGGUUUACGAGAAAGACUAUUCAUUUCGAACAAAUGAUGAAAUUAUUGUAGGUAAACUAGUGCUGUCACAAAUCAUGUCCUCUUGACAUCAACAUGUAUUUUUCAUAUGUAGCCGAGAAUCUAAAUCCUACUUGAGCUGUCAACUACAUAAAAAUGUUAUUUUGUCACUGAUA
rnacentral:lncRNA from 1 species